UGGGAGACCAUGGCUUGGGCCUGUCUGGUGGCCUGGUCAUUUCUAAGCUGUCAUAGUCCCUUGAUAGCUUUGGUGUUGCCUCAUGAGGAGGCAGUUGCCAUUGACUUAAGGAAGGAUAUAAUCUUUGCCUGUCAGUAGAAGGCACACUUGUGCCAUUUGUGGUCACCUCUUCCUGCACUAUGAAGGCUAAUGGUACCAGUACCAUUUCCUGCCUCUCUUCUUCCUGCACCUGUGUGGUUGCUUGCUUUGGAGUAGAUUCUCGCCCUUGCUUUCCUGUGCCUGCUGCGGUUGCUUGCUUUGAGGUAGAUUGUCAACCCCACUUUUUUCCUUUGCCUGUCUUUCACAGUCUCAUCUUCCUUCAGGGCCAUCAUUAUAUGAGAAGGGUCUGUUGCAAGGCCCCCUAAACUUUGCUGAAUGACUGUCACAAUAGAAAAAAAAUGUAGUGGUAAAGUAUAACCCUGUUUCACUUCAGCUUGCCAUGUAUUUGCCAUUAUUCCCAUGACCUAGGUUCAAAAACAUCAGCGGCACUUAUCCAUGGACUGGCAUUAAUCAUAACAUCCCAGAACUUCUGAGCUUCUCUCUUAUUCAGGGUUAAACCUCUAGUAUCUAAGAGAGUGUACAGCACUUGCAGCUGCGAGUCUUUGGUGGAACUAGGCAGGUUCCCCAUUUCCCCUUCCUCACUACUCUGUGAUAGGGCCACACCCUGUCUCAUAGGCUUACCUCAGGUCCCUGUUUGGGACCUUCUGGGGGUGCCAGCUUCAUGGGCUCUCUCUUAUCCAGCGAGGAGGUCCAUGGAACAGGGUAGAGGAGAGUGUGGCUGUGGAGUUGCUAAUCAAGACCUCUGGAGACCAAGCAGGAAGCAGGUCUGAUUUUAUUGAGCAGUUACCAUGUAUAUAUACUCAGGCAGUAGCUAAGCAGAUUACAGGCAGCCACCAAUGCAAUUUCUGCUAACUGUCCUCCCAGCGACCAAUCGAGGAGUGGGCCAUGGAGCAAGUCCAGACACUGCAACACAUGGCCUCAUGCCCAGGGCUGUGCCUAUGGGGUAAGUGGUUUGCUGUUCACACACCUAGCAUGGGGGAGUGGUUUGCCACUCAGAUGCCCUUAAGUUAUUCCAUGUAUGCAAUACUCCAUAAACUUGUCCCCACAGGCAGUCACUAUGUGGGGUUAGCAGCUGCUGGGGACAGGUGUGGUUAGAAACUGGGUACCUGGCCUUCCGGAGUUCCAAACUAGAAGUUGCCCUCACUAAAGAUGGUGAUGAAGGUGACUCAAGAUGGAGGGAUUUGCUUUUAGCAAUGAAGUGUCUGAUUGGGUGGGGGGAGCCGGGCAAUGGCAUUGGAUUAUAAGUUCAGAGACUGGGUCUGUGGAGUGUAGUGUAUGAUUUUGGUUGUCUUCCCAGCCUGUGUGAAGUUCCUCGGUGCCAUGGUAUGUAGGGGACUAUCUUCUUUAUUGCAAAGUCCCAAGAUGGGGGCAACAGGAGAGCCCCACAUUGGUUGAUGGGGGUCCACACAGUAGUGGCAGCUGGAGAUCUUGCACAUAGGGAGCUGCAUCUAGGAUUUCUGCUUGGAUGUGUGGUCAAAAGUUUUGUGCAGGUGCUGAUGGUCCCCACUCAGGUACCCGGUGGUUCUGUGUGGGCGAAUAGUUGGGAGACCAACUCUGAAGCUGAGGCCUGGAGCCCUGCACAGGCAUGGUGACCAUGAUUCCUGUGCAGAAGCAGGAAUAUCGCUUGCAGAGAAGCAGAAUUCUCACUUCUUGAGUCCCAGGUCACAGAGUGACACAGAAUGCUGCCUCACCUCUGGCCUGCCAUGUUGGAUCCUUUCUACAAAUCUUUUAGGAAAG
rnacentral:lncRNA from 1 species